AUUGAACGCUGGCGGCAGGCCUAACACAUGCAAGUCGAGCGGAUGAAGGGAGCUUGCUCCUGGAUUCAGCGGCGGACGGGUGAGUAAUGCCUAGGAAUCUGCCUGGUAGUGGGGGAUAACGUCCGGAAACGGGCGCUAAUACUGCAUACGUCCUGAGGGUGAAAGUGGGGGAUCUUUGGACCUCACGCUAUCAGAUGAGCCUAGGUCGGAUUAGCUAGUUGGUGGGGUAAAGGCCUACCAAGGCGACGAUCCGUAACUGGUCUGAGAGGAUGAUCAGUCACACUGGAACUGAGACACGGUCCAGACUCCUACGGGAGGCAGCAGUGGGGAAUAUUGGACAAUGGGCGAAAGCCUGAUCCAGCCAUGCCGCGUGUGUGAAGAAGGUCUUCGGAUUGUAAAGCACUUUAAGUUGGGAGGAAGGGCAGUAAGUUAAUACCUUGCUGUUUUGACGUUACCAACAGAAUAAGCACCGGCUAACUUCGUG
rnacentral:rRNA from 1 species